ACAGAGGCCGCCCGCCAAGUAUGGUGCCAUUCCGAGUCCCGCGGACGAACUUCGCCCACGCCCCCCACCAAGGCUAUAGCCCACCCGUUUUUUGGCCAGUUUUCCGCUGGGGAGUCUUGGGUCCCCGACCAUCGGGGGCUUAUUUUCGGGCGCGGCUGUGCCCGUGGCCUAUUUUUGGCACACAGAGGCCGCCCGCCAAGUAUGGUGCCAUUCCGAGUCGCGCGGACGAACUUCGCCCACGCCCCCCACCAAGGCUAUAGCCCACCCGUUUUUUGGCCAUUUUUCCGCUGGGGGGUCUUGGGACCCCGACCUUCGGGGGCUGAUUUUUGGGCGCGGCUGUGCCCGUGGCCUAUUUUUGGUACACAGAGGCCGCCCGCCAAGUAUGGUGCCAUUCCGAGUCCCGCGGACGAACUUCGCCCACGCCCCCCACCAAGGCUAUAGCCCACGCGUUUUUUGGCCAUUUUUCCGCUGGGGGGUCUUGGGUCCCCGACCUUCGGGGGCUGAUUUUUGGGCGCGGCUGUGCCCGUGGCCUAUUUUUGGCACACAGAGGCCGCCCGCCAAGUAUGGUGCCAUUCCGAGUCCCGCGGACGAACUUCGCCCACGCCCCCCACCAAGGCUAUAGCCCACCCGUUUUUUGGCCAUUUCUCCGCUGGGGGGUCUUGGGACCCCGACCUUCGGGGGCUGAUUUUUGGGAGAGGCUGUGCCCGUGGCCUAUUUUUAGCACACGGAUGCCCCCCGCCAAGUCUGGUGCCAUUCCGAGUCCCGCGGACGAACUUCGCCCACGCCGCCCACCAAGGCUAUAGCCCACCCGUUUUUUGGCCAUUUUUCCGCUGGGGGGUCUUGGGACCCCGACCUUCGGGGGCUGAUUUUUGGGCGCGGCUGUGCCCGUGGCCCCAUUUUUGGUACACAGAGGCCGCCCGCCAAGUAUGGUGCCAUUCCGAGUCCCGCGGACGAACUUCGCCCACGCCGCCCACCAAGGCUAUAGCCCACCCGUUUUUUGGCCAGUUUUCCGCUGGGGGGUCUUGGGACCCCGACCAUCGGGGGCUGAUUUUUGGGCGCGGCUGUGCCCGUUGCCUAUUUUUGGCACACAGAGGCCGCCCGCCAAGUAUGGUGCCAUUCCGAGUCCCGCGGACGAACUUCGCCCACGCCGCCCACCAAGGCUAUAGCCCACCCGUUUUUUGGCCAUUUUUCCGCUGGGGGGUCUUGGGACCCCGACCUUCGGGGGCUGAUUUUUGGGCGCGGCUGUGCCCGUGGCCUAUUUUUGGUACACAGAGGCCGCCCGCCAAGUAUGGUGCCAUUCCGAGUCCCGCGGACGAACUUCGCCCACGCCCCCCACCAAGGCUAUAGCCCACCCGUUUUUUGGCCAGUUUUCCGCUGGGGAGUCUUGGGACCCCGACCAUCGGGGGCUGAUUUUUGGGCGCGGCUGUGCCCGUGGCCUAUUUUUGGCACACAGAGGCCGCCCGCCAAGUAUGGUGCCAUUCCGAGUCCCGCGGACGAACUUCGCCCACGCCCCCCACCAAGGCUAUAGCCAACCCGUUUUUUGGCCAUUUUUCCGCUGGGGGGUCUUGGGACCCCGACCUUCGGGGGCUGAUUUUUGGGCGCGGCUGUGCCCGUGGCCUAUUUUUGGCACACAGAGGCCGCCCGCCAAGUAUGGUGCCAUUCCGAGUCCCGCGGACGAACUUCGCCCACGCCGCCCACCAAGGCUAUAGCCCACCCGUUUUUUGGCCAUUUUUCCGCUGGGGGGUCUUGGGACCCCGACCUUCGGGGGCUGAUUUUUGGGCGCGGCUGUGCCCGUGGCCUAUUUUUGGUACACAGAGGCCGCCCGCCAAGUAUGGUGCCAUUCCGAGUCCCGCGGACGAACUUCGCCCACGCCCCCCACCAAGGCUAUAGCCCACCCGUUUUUUGGCCAUUUUUCCACUGGGGGGUCUUGGGACCCCGACCUUCGGGGGCUGAUUUUUGGGCGCGGCUGUGCCCGUGGCCUAUUUUUGGCACACAGAGGCCGCCCGCCAAGUAUGGUGCCAUUCCGAGUCCCGCGGACGAACUUCGCCCACGCCCCCCACCAAGGCUAUAGCCCACCCGUUUUUUGGCCAUUUUUCCGCUGGGGGGUCUUGGGACCCCGACCUUCGGGGGCUGAUUUUUGGGCGCGGCUGUGCCCGUGGCCUAUUUUUGGCACACAGAGGCCGCCCGCCAAGUAUGGUGCCAUUCCGAGUCCCGCGGACGAACUUCGCCCACGCCCCCCACCAAGGCUAUAGCCCACCCGUUUUUUGGCCAUUUUUCCGCUGGGGGGUCUUGGGACCCCGACCUUCGGGGGCUGAUUUUUGGGCGCGGCUGUGCCCGUGGCCUAUUUUUGGCACACAGAGGCCGCCCGCCAAGUAUGGUGCCAUUCCGAGUCCCGCGGACGAACUUCGCCCACGCCGCCCACCAAGGCUAUAGCCCACCCGUUUUUUGGCCAUUUUUCCGCUGGGGGGUCUUGGGACCCCGACCUUCGGGGGCUGAUUUUUGGGCGCGGCUGUGCCCGUGGCCUAUUUUUGGUACACAGAGGCCGCCCGCCAAGUAUGGUGCCAUUCCGAGUCCCGCGGACGAACUUCGCCCACGCCCCCCACCAAGGCUAUAGCCCACCCGUUUUUUGGCCAUUUUUCCGCUGGGGGGUCUUGGGACCCCGACCUUCGGGGGCUGAUUUUUGGGCGCGGCUGUGCCCGUGGCCUAUUUUUGGCACACAGAGGCCGCCCGCCAAGUAUGGUGCCAUUCCGAGUCCCGCGGACGAACUUCGCCCACGCCGCCCACCAAGGCUAUAGCCCACCCGUUUUUUGGCCAUUUUUCCGCUGGGGGGUCUUGGGACCCCGACCUUCGGGGGCUGAUUUUUGGGCGCGGCUGUGUCCGUGGCCUACUUUUGGCACACAGAGGCCGCCCGCCAAGUAUGGUGCCAUUCCGAGUCCCGCGGACGAACUUCGCCCACGCCGCCCACCAAGGCUAUAGCCCACCCGUUUUUUGGCCAUUUUUCCGCUGGGGGGUCUUGGGACCCCGACCUUCGGGGGCUGAUUUUUGGGCGCGGCUGUGCCCGUGGCCUAUUUUUGGCACACGGAGGCCGCCCGCCAAGUCAGGGGCCAUUCCGAGUCCCGCGGACGAAGUUCGCCCACGCCCCCCACCAAGGCUAUAGCCCACCCGUUUUUUGGCCAUUUUUCCGCUGGGGGGUCUUGGGACCCCGACCUUCGGGGGCUGAUUUUUGGGCGCGGCUGUGCCCGUGGCCUAUUUUUGGCACACGGAGGCCGCCCGCCAAGUCAGGGGCCAUUCCGAGUCCCGCGGACGAAGUUCGCCCACGCCCCCCACCACGGCUAUAGCCCACCCGUUUUUUGGCCAUUUUUCCACUGGGGGGUCUUGGGACCCCGACCUUCGGGGGCUGAUUUUUGGGCGCGGCUGUGCCCGUGGCCUAUUGUUGGCACACGGAGGCCGCCCGCCAAGUCAGGGGCCAUUCCGAGUCCCGCGGACGAACUUCGCCCACGCCCCCCACCAAGGCUAUAGCCCACCCGUUUUUUGGCCAUUUUUCCGCUGGGGGGUCUUGGGACCCCGACCUUCGGGGUCUGAUUUUUGGGCGCGGCUGUGCCCGUGGCCUAUUUUUGGCACACGGAGGCCGCCCGCCAAGUCAGGGGCCAUUCCGAGUCCCGUGGACGAAGUUCGCCCACGCCCCCCACCAAGGCUAUAGCCCACCCGUUUUUGGCCAUUUUCCGCUGGGGGAUCUUGGGACCCCGACCUUCGGGGGCUGAUUUUUGGGCGCGGCUGUGCCCGUGGCCUAUUUUUGGCACACGGAGGCCGCCCGCCAAGUAAGGUGCCAUUCCGAGUCCCGCGGACGAACUUCGCCCACGCCCCCCACCAAGGCUAUAGCCCACCCGUUUUUUGGCCAUUUUUCCGCUGGGGGGUCUUGGGACCCCGACCUUCGGGGGCUGAUUUUUGGGCGCGGCUGUGCCCGUGGCCUAUUUUUGGCACACGGAGGCCGCCCGCCAAGUAUGGUGCCAUUCCGAGUCCCGCGGACGAACUUCGCCCACGCCGCCCACCAAGGCUAUAGCCCACCCGUUUUUUGGCCAUUUUUCCGCUGGGGGGUCUUGGGACCCCGACCUUCGGGGGCUGAUUUUUGGGCGCGGCUGUGCCCGUGGCCUAUUUUUGGCACACGGAGGCCGCCCGCCAAGUCAGGUGCCAUUCCGAGUCCCGCGGACGAAGUUUGCCCACGCCCCCCACCAAGGCUAUAGCCCACCCGUUUUUUGGCCAUUUUUCCGCUGGGGGGUCUUGGGACCCCGACCUUCGGGGGCUGAUUUUUGGGCGCGGCUGUGCCCGUGGCCUAUUUUUGGCACACGGAGGCCGCCCGCCAAGUAUGGUGCCAUUCCGAGUCCCGCGGACGAACUUCGCCCACGCCGCCCACCAAGGCUAUAGCCCACCCGUUUUUUGGCCAUUUUUCCGCUGGGGGGUCUUGGGACCCCGACCUUCGGGGGCUGAUUUUUGGGCGCGGCUGUGCCCGUGGCCUAUUUUUGGUACCCGGAGGCCGCCCGCCAAGUCAGGGGCCAUUCCGAGUCCCGCGGACGAAGUUCGCCCACGCCCCCCACCAAGGCUAUAGCCCACCCGUUUUUUGGCCAUUUUUCCGCUGGGGGGUCUUGGGACCUCGACCUUCGGGGGCUGAUUUUUGGGCGCGGCUGUGCCCGUGUCCUAUUUUUGGCACACGGAGGCCGCCCGCCAAGUCAGGGGCCAUUCCGAGUCCCGCGGACGAAGUUCGCCCACGCCCCCCACCAAGGCUAUAGCCCACCCGUUUUUUGGCCAUUUUUCCGCUGGGGGGUCUUGGGACCCCGACCUUCGGGGGCUGAUUUUUGGGCGCGGCUGUGCCCGUGGCCUAUUUUUGGCACACAGAGGCCGCCCGCCAAGUAUGGUGCCAUUCCGAGUCCCGCGGACGAACUUCGCCCACGCCGCCCACCAAGGCUAUAGCCCACCCGUUUUUUGACCAUUUUUCCGCUGGGGGGUCUUGGGACCCCGACCUUCGGGGGCUGAUUUUUGGGCGCGGCUGUGCCCGUGGCCUAUUUUUGGUACCCGGAGGCCGUCCGCCAAGUCAGGGGCCAUUCCGAGUCCCGCGGACGAAGUUCGCCCACGCCCCCCACCAAGGCUAUAGCCCACCCGUUUUUUGGCCAUUUUUCCGCUGGGGGGUCUUGGGACCCCGACCUUUGGGGGCUGAUUUUUGGGCGCGGCUGUGCCCGUGGCCUAUUUUUGGCACACGGAGGCCGCCCGCCAAGUCAGGGGCCAUUCCGAGUCCCGCGGACGAAGUUCGCCCACGCCCCCCACCAAGGCUAUAGCCCACCCGUUUUUUGGCCAUUUUUCCGCUGGGGGGUCUUGGGACCCCGACCUUCGGGGGCUGAUUUUUGGGCGCGGCUGUGCCCGUGGCCUAUUUUUGGCACACAGAGGCCGCCCGCCAAGUAUGGUGCCAUUCCGAGUCCCGCGGACGAACUUCGCCCACGCCCCCCACCAAGGCUAUAGCCCCACCCGUUUUUUGGCCAUUUUUCCCGCUUGGGGGGGUCUUGGGACCCCGACCUUCGGGGGCUGAUUUUUGGGCGCGGCUGUGCCCGUGGCCUAUUUUUGGCACACGGAGACCGCCCGCCAAGUAUGGUGCCAUUCCGAGUCCCGCGGACGAACUUCGCCCACGCCCCCCACCAAGGCUAUAGCCCACCCGUUUUUUGGCCAUUUUUCCGCUGGGGGGUCUUGGGACCCCGACCUUCGGGGGCUGAUUUUUGGGCGCGGCUGUGCCCGUGGCCUAUUUUUGGCACACGGAGGCCGCCCGCCAAGUAUGGUGCCAUUCCGAGUCCCGCGGACGAACUUCGCCCACGCCGCCCACCAAGGCUAUAGCCCACCCGUUUUUUGGCCAUUUUUCCGCUGGGGGGUCUUGGGACCCCGACCUUCGGGGGCUGAUUUUUGGGCGCGGCUGUGCCCGUGGCCUAUUUUUGGCACACGGAGGCCGCCCGCCAAGUCAGGGGCCAUUCCGAGUCCCGCGGACGAAGUUCGCCCACGCCCCACACCAAGGCCAUAGCCCACCCGUUUUUUGGCCAUUUUUCCGCUGGGGGGUCUUGGGACCCCGACCUUCGGGGGCUGAUUUUUGGGCGCGGCUGUGCCCGUGGCCUAUUUUUGGCACACAGAGGCCGCCCGCCAAGUAUGGUGCCAUUCCGAGUCCCGCGGACGAACUUCGCCCACGCCGCCCACCAAGGCUAUAGCCCACCCGUUUUUUGGCCAUUUUUCCGCUGGGGGGUCUUGGGACCUCGACCUUCGGGGGCUGAUUUUUGGGCGCGGCUGUGCCCGUGUCCUAUUUUUGGCACACGGAGGCCGCCCGCCAAGUCAGGGGCCAUUCCGAGUCCCGCGGACGAAGUUCGCCCACGCCCCCCACCAAGGCUAUAGCCCACCCGUUUUUUGGCCAUUUUUCCGCUGGGGGGUCUUGGGACCCCGACCUUCGGGGGCUGAUUUUUGGGCGCGGCUGUGCCCGUGGCCUAUUUUUGGCACACGGAGGCCGCCCGCCAAGUCAGGGGCCAUUCCGAGUCCCGCGGACGAACUUCGCCCACGCCCCCCACCAAGGCUAUAGCCCACCCGUUUUUUGGCCAUUUUUCCGCUGGGGGGUCUUGGGACCCCGACCUUCGGGGGCUGAUUUUUGGGCGCGGCUGUGCCCGUGGCCUAUUUUUGGCACACAGAGGCCGCCCGCCAAGUAUGGUGCCAUUCCGAGUCCCGCGGACGAACUUCGCCCACGCCCCCCACCAAGGCUAUAGCCCACCCGUUUUUUGGCCAUUUUUCCGCUGGGGGGUCUUGGGACCCCGACCUUCGGGGGCUGAUUUUUGGGCGCGGCUGUGCCCGUGGCCUAUUUUUGGCACACGGAGGCCGCCCGCCAAGUCAGGGGCCAUUCCGAGUCCCGCGGACGAAGUUCGCCCACGCCCCCCACCAAGGCUAUAGCCCACCCGUUUUUUGGCCAUUUUUCCGCUGGGGGGUCUUGGGACCCCGACCUUCGGGGUCUGAUUUUUGGGCGCGGCUGUGCCCGUGGCCUAUUUUUGGCACACAGAGGCCGCCCGCCAAGUAUGGUGCCAUUCCGAGUCCCGCGGACGAACUUCGCCCACGCCCCCCACCAAGGCUAUAGCCCACCCGUUUUUUGGCCAUUUUUCCGCUGGGGGGUCUUGGGACCCCGACCUUCGGGGGCUGAUUUUUGGGCGCGGCUGUGCCCGUGGUCUAUUUUUGGCACACGGAGGCCGCCCGCCAAGUCAGGGGCCAUUCCGAGUCCCGCGGACGAACUUCGCCCACGCCGCCCACCAAGGCUAUAGCCCACCCGUUUUUUGGCCAUUUUUCCGCUGGGGGGUCUUGGGACCCCGACCUUCGGGGGCUGAUUUUUGUGCGCGGCUGUGCCCGUGGCCUAUUUUUGGCACACAGAGGCCGCCCGCCAAGUAUGGUGCCAUUCCGAGUCCCGCGGACGAACUUCGCCCACGCCCCCCACCAAGGCUAUAGCCCACCCGUUUUUUGGCCAUUUUUCCGCUGGGGGGUCUUGGGACCCCGACCUUCGGGGGCUGAUUUUUGGGCGCGGCUGUGCCCGUGGCCUAUUUUUGGCACACGGAGGCCGCCCGCCAAGUCAGGGGCCAUUCCGAGUCCCGCGGAUGAAGUUCGCCCACGCCCCCCACCAAGGCUAUAGCCCACCCGUUUUUUGGCCAUUUUUCCACUGGGGGGUCUUGGGACCCCGACCUUCGGGGGCUGAUUUUUGUACGCGGCUGUGCCCGUGGCCUAUUUUUGGCACACAGAGGCCGCCCGCCAAGUAUGGUGCCAUUCCGAGUCCCGCGGACGAACUUCGCCCACGCCCCCCACCAAGGCUAUAGCCCACCCGUUUUUUGGCCAUUUUUCCGCUGGGGGGUCUUGGGACCCCGACCUUCGGGGGCUGAUUUUUGGGCGCGGCUGUGCCCGUGGCCUAUUUUUGGCACACGGAGGCCGCCCGCCAAGUCAGGGGCCAUUCCGAGUCCCGCGGACGAAGUUCGCCCACGCCCCCCACGAAGGCUAUAGCCCACCCAUUUUUUGGCCAUUUUUCCACUGGGGGGUCUUGGGAGCCCGACCUUCGGGGGCUGAUUUUUGUGCGCGGCUGUGCCCGUGGCCUAUUUUUGGCACACAGAGGCCGCCCGCCAAGUAUGGUGCCAUUCCGAGUCCCGCGGACGAACUUCGCCCACGCCGCCCACCAAGGCUAUAGCCCACCCGUUUUUUGGCCAUUUUUCCGCUGGGGGGUCUUGGGACCCCGACCUUCGGGGGCUGAUUUUUGGGCGCGGCUGUGCCCGUGGCCUAUUUUUGGCACACGGAGGCCGCCCGCCAAGUCAGGGGCCAUUCCGAGUCCCGCGGACGAAGUUCGCCCACGCCCCCCACCAAGGCUAUAGCCCACCCGUUUUUUGGCCAUUUUUCCGCUGGGGGGUCUUGGGACCCCGACCUUCGGGGGCUGACUUUUGGGAGCGGCUGUGCCCGUGGCCUAUUUUUGGCACACAGAGGCCGCCCGCCAAGUAUGGUGCCAUUCCGAGUCCCGCGGACGAACUUCGCCCACGCCCCCCACCAAGGCUAUAGCCCACCCGUUUUUUGGCCAUUUUUCCGCUGCGGGGUCUUGGGACCCCGACCUUCGGGGGCUGAUUUUUGGGCGCGGCUGUGCCCGUGGCCUAUUUUUGGCACACAGAGGCCGCCCGCCAAGUAUGGUGCCAUUCCGAGUCCCGCAGACGAACUUCGCCUACGCCGCCCACCAAGGCUAUAGCCCACCCGUUUUUUGGCCAUUUUUCCGCUGGGGGGUCUUGGGACCCCGACCUUCGGGGGCUGAUUUUUGGGCGCGGCUGUGCCCGUGGCCUAUUUUUGGCACACGGAGGCCGCCCGCUAAGUCAGGGGCCAUUCCGAGUCCCGCGGACUAAGUUCGCCCACGCCCCCCACCAAGGCCAUUGCCCGACCGUUUUAUGGCCAUUUUUCCACUGGGGGGUCUUGCGACCCCGACCUUCGGGGGCUGAUUUUUGGGCGCGGCUGUGCCCGUGUCCUAUUUUUGGCACACAGAGGCCGCCCGCCAAGUAUGGUGCCAUUCCGAGUCCCGCGGACGAACUUCGCCCACGCCCCCCACCAAGGCUAUAGCCCACCCGUUUUUUGGCCAUUUUUCCGCUGGGGGGUCUUGGGACCCCGACCUUCGGGGGCUGACUUUUGGGCGCGGCUGUGCCCGUGGCCUAUUUUUGGCACACAGAGGCCGCCCGCCAAGUAUGGUGCCAUUCCGAGUCCCGCGGACGAACUUCGCCCACGCCCCCCACCAAGGCUAUAGCCCACCCGUUUUUUGGCCAUUUUUCCGCUGGGGGGUCUUGGGACCCCGACCUUCGGGGGCUGAUUUUUGGGCGCGCCUGUGCCCGUGGCCUAUUUUUGGCACACAGAGGCCGCCCGCCAAGUAUGGUGCCAUUCCGAGUCCCGCGGACGAACUUCGCCCACGCCCCCCACCAAGGCUAUAGCCCACCCGUUUUUUGGCCAUUUUUCCGCUGGGGGGUCUUGGGACCCCGACCUUCGGGGGCUGACUUUUGGGCGCGGCUGUGCCCGUGGCCUAUUUUUGGCACACAGAGGCCGCCCGCCAAGUAUGGUGCCAUUCCGAGUCCCGCGGACGAACUUCGCCCACGCCCCCCACCAAGGCUAUAGCCCACCCGUUUUUUGGCCAUUUUUCCGCUGGGGGGUCUUGGGACCCCGACCUUCGGGGGCUGAUUUUUGGGCGCGCCUGUGCCCGUGGCCUAUUUUUGGCACACAGAGGCCGCCCGCCAAGUAUGGUGCCAUUCCGAGUCCCGCGGACGAACUUCGCCCACGCCGCCCACCAAGGCUAUAGCCCACCCGUUUUUUGGCCAUUUUUCCGCUGGGGGGUCUUGGGACCCCGACCUUCGGGGGCUGAUUUUUGGGCGUGGCUGUGCCCGUGGCCUAUUUUUGGCACACGGAGGCCGCCCGCCAAGUCAGGGGCCAUUCUGAGUCCCGCGGACGAAGUUCGCCCACGCCCCACACCAAGGCCAUAGCCCACCCGUUUUUUGGCCAUUUUUCCGCUGGGGGGUCUUGGGACCCCGACCUUCGGGGGCUGACUUUUGGGAGCGGCUGUGCCCGUGGCCUAUUUUUGGCACACAGAGGCCGCCCGCCAAGUAUGGUGCCAUUCCGAGUCCCGCGGACGAACUUCGCCCACGCCCCCCACGAAGGCUAUAGCCCACCCGUUUUUUGGCAAUUUUUCCGCUGGGGGGUCUUGGGACCCCGACCUUCGGGGGCUGAUUUUUGGGCGCGGCUGUGCCCGUGGCCUAUUUUUGGCACACGGAGGCCGCCCGCCAAGUCAGGGGCCAUUCCGAGUCCCGCGGACGAAGUUCGCCCACGCCCUCCACCAAGGCUAUAGCCCACCCGUUUUUUGGCUAUUUUUCCACUGGGGGGUCUUGGGACCCCGACUUUCGGGUGCUGAUUUUUGGGCGCGGCUGUGCCCGUGGCCUAUUUUUGGCACACAGAGGCCGCCCGCCAAGUAUGGUGCCAUUCCGAGUCCCGCGGACGAACUUCGCCCACGCCCCCCACCAAGGCUAUAGCCCACCCGUUUUUUGGCCAUUUUUCCGCUGGGGGGUCUUGGGACCCCGACCUUCCGGGGCUGAUUUUUGAGCGCGGCUGUGCCCGUGGCCUAUUUUUGGCACACAGAGGCCGCCCGCCAAGUAUGGUGCCAUUCCGAGUCCCGCGGACGAACUUCGCCCACGCCGCCCACCAAGGCUAUUGCCCACCCGUUUUUUGGCCAUUUUUCCGCUGGGGGGUCUUGGGACCCCGACCUUCGGGGGCUGAUUUUUGGGCGCGGCUGUGCCCGUGGCCUAUUUUUGGCACACAGAGGCCGCCCGCCAAGUAUGGUGCCAUUCCGAGUCCCGCGGACGAACUUCGCCCACGCCGCCCACCAAGGCUAUAACCCACCCGUUUUUUGGCCAUUUUUCCGCUGGGGGGUCUUGGGACCCCGACCUUCGGGGGCUGAUUUUUGGGCGCGGCUGUGCCCGUGGCCUAUUUUUGGCACACAGAGGCCGCCCGCCAAGUAUGGUGCCAUUCCGAGUCCCGCGGACGAACUUCGCCCACGCCCCCCACCAAGGCUAUAGCCCACCCGUUUUUUGGCCAUUUUUCCGCUGGGGGGUCUUGGGACCCCGACCUUCGGGGGCUGAUUUUUGGGCGCGGCUGUGCCCGUGGCCUAUUUUUGGCACACAGAGGCCGCCCGCCAAGUAUGGUGCCAUUCCGAGUCCCGCGGACGAACUUCGCCCACGCCCCCCACCAAGGCUAUAGCCCACCCGUUUUUUGGCCAUUUUUCCGCUGGGGGGUCUUGGGACCCCGACCUUCGGGGGCUGAUUUUUGGGCGCGGCUGUGCCCGUGGCCUAUUUUUCGCACACAGAGGCCGCCCGCCAAGUAUGGUGCCAUUCCGAGUCCCGCGGACGAACUUCGCCCACACCCCCCACCAAGGCUAUAGCCCACCCGUUUUUUGGCCAUUUUUCCGCUGGGGGGUCUUGGGACCCCGACCUUCGGGGGAUGAUUUUUGGGCGCGGCUGUGCCCGUGGCCUAUUUUUGGCACACGGAGGCCGCCCGCCAAGUCAGGGGCCAUUCCGAGUCCCGCGGACGAACUUCGCCCACGCCGCCCACCAAGGCUAUAGCCCACCCGUUUUUUGGCCAUUUUUCCGCUGGGGGAUCUUGGGACCCCGACCUUCGGGGGCUGAUUUUUGGGCGCGGCUGUGCCCGUGGCCUAUUUUUGGCACACAGAGGCCGCCCGCCAAGUAUGGUGCCAUUCCGAGUCCCGCGGAUGAACUUCGCCCACGCCGCCCACCAAGGCUAUAGCCCACCCGUUUUUUGGCCAUUUUUCCGCUGGGGGGUCUUGGGACCCCGACCUUCGGGUGCUGAUUUUAGGGCGCGGCUGUGCCCGUGGCCUAUUUUUGGCACACAGAGGCCGCCCGCCAAGUAUGGUGCCAUUCCGAGUCCCGCGGACGAACUUCGCCCACGCCGCCCACCAAGGCUAUAGCCCACCCGUUUUUUGGCCAUUUUUCCGCUGGGGGGUCUUGGGACCCCGACCUUCGGGUGCUGAUUUUUGGGCGCGGCUGUGCCCGUGGCCUAUUUUUUGGCACACAGAGGGCCGCCCGCCAAGUCAGGGUGCCAUUCCGAGUCCCGCGGACGAAGUUCGCCCACGCCCCCCACCAAGGCUAUAGCCCACCCGUUUUUUGGCCAUUUUUCCGCUGGGGGGUCUUGGGACCCCGACCUUCGGGGGCUGAUUUUUGGGCGCGGCUGUGCCCGUGGCCUAUUUUUGGCACACGGAGGCCGCCCGCCAAGUCAGGGGCCAUUCCGAGUCCCGCGGACGAAGUUCGCCCACGCCCCCCACCAAGGCUAUAGCCCACCCGUUUUUUGGCCAUUUUUCCGCUGGGGGGUCUUGGGACCCCAACCUUCGGGGGCUGAUUUUUGAGCGCGGCUGUGCCCGUGGCCUAUUUUUGGCACACGGAGGCCGCCCGCCAAGACAGGGGCCAUUCCGAGUCCCGCGGACGAACUUCGCCCACGCCGCCCACCAAGGCUAUAGCCCACCCGUUUUUUGGCCAUUUUUCCGCUUGGGGGUCUUGGGACCCCGACCUUCGGGGGCUGAUUUUUGAGCGCGGCUGUGCCCGUGGCCUAUUUUUGGUACACGGAGGCCGCCCGCCAAGUCUGGUGCCAUUCCGAGUCCCGCGGACGAACUUCGCCCACGCCGCCCACCAAGGCUAUAGCCCACCCGUUUUUUGACCAUUUUUCCGCUGGGGGGUCUUGGGACCCCGACCUUCGGGGGCUGAUUUUUGGGCGCGGCUGUGCCCGUGGCCUAUUUUUGGCACACAGAGGCCGCCCGCCAAGUAUGGUGCCAUUCCGAGUCCCGCGGACGAACUUCGCCCACGCCCCCCACCAAGGCUAUAGCCCACCCGUUUUUUGGCCAUUUUUCCGCUGGGGGGUCUUGGGACCCCGACCUUCGGGGGCUGAUUUUUGGGCGCGGCUGUGCCCGUGGCCUAUUUUUGGCACACAGAGGCCGCCCGCCAAGUAUGGUGCCAUUCCGAGUCCCGCGGACGAACUUCGCCCACGCCGCCCACCAAGGCUAUAGCCCACCCGUUUUUUGGCCAUUUUUCCGCUGGGGGGUCUUGGGACCCCGACCUUCGGGGGCUGAUUUUUGGGCGCGGCUGUGCCCGUGGCCUAUUUUUGGCACACGGAGGCCGCCCGCCAAGUCAGGGGCCAUUCCGAGUCCCGCGGACGAAGUUCGCCCACGCCCCACACCAAGGCCAUAGCCCACCCGUUUUUUGGCCAUUUUUCCGCUGGGGGGUCUUGGGACCCCGACCUUCGGGGGCUGAUUUUUGGGCGCGGCUGUACCCGUGGCCCAGUUUUGGCACACGGAGGCCGCCCGCCAAGUCAGGGGCCAUUCCGAGUCCCGCGGAUGAAGUUCGCCCACGCCCCCCACCAAGGCUAUAGCCCACCCGUUUUUUGGCCAUUUUUCCACUGGGGGGUCUUGGGACCCCGACCUUCGGGGGCUGAUUUUUGUACGCGGCUGUGCCCGUGGCCUAUUUUUGGCACACAGAGGCCGCCCGCCAAGUAUGGUGCCAUUCCGAGUCCCGCGGACGAACUUCGCCCACGCCCCCCACCAAGGAUAUAGCCCACCCGUUUUUUGGCCAUUUUUCCGCUGGGGGGUCUUGGGACCCCGACCUUCAGGGGCUGAUUUUUGGGCGCGGCUGUGCCCGUGGCCUAUUUUUGGCACACGGAGGCCGCCCGCCAAGUCAGGGGCCAUUCCGAGUCCCGCGGACGAAGUUCGCCCACGCCCCCCACCAAGGCUAUAGCCAACCCGUUUUUUGGCCAUUUUUCCGCUGGGGGGUCUUGGGACCCCGACCUUCGGGGGCUGAUUUUUGGGCGCGGCUGUGCCCGUGGCCUAUUUUUGGCACACAGAGGCCGCCCGCCAAGUAUGGUGCCAUUCCGAGUCCCGCGGACGAACUUCGCCCACGCCGCCCACCAAGGCUAUAGCCCACCCGUUUUUUGGCCAUUUUUCCGCUGGGGGGUCAUGGGACCCCGACCUUCGGGGGCUGAUUUUUGGGCGCGGCUGUGCCCGUGGCCUAUUUUUGGCACACAGAGGCCGCCCGCCAAGUAUGGUGCCAUUCCGAGUCCCGCGGACGAACUUCGCCCACGCCCCCCACCAAGGCUAUAGCCCACCCGUUUUUUGGCCAUUUUUCCGCUGGGGGGUCUUGGGACCCCGACCUUCGGGGGCUGAUAUUUGGGCGCGGCUGUGCCCGUGGCCCAGUUUUGGCACACGGAGGCCGCCCGCCAAGUCGGGGGCCAUUCCGAGUCCCGCGGAUGAAGUUCGCCCACGCCCCCCACCAAGGCUAUAGCCCACCCGUUUUUUGGCCAUUUUUCCGCUGGGUGGUCUUGGGACCCCGACCUUCGGGGGCUGAUUUUUGGGCGCGGCUGUGCCCGUGGCCUAUUUUUGGCACACAGAGGCCGCCCGCCAAGUAUGGUGCCAUUCCGAGUCCCGCGGACGAACUUCGCCCACGCCGCCCACCAAUUCUAUAGCCCACCCGUUUUUUGGCCAUUUUUCCGCUGGGGGGUCUUGGGACCCCGACCUUCGGGGGCUGAUUUUUGGGCGCGGCUGUGCCCGUGGCCUAUUUUUGGCACACGGAGGCCGCCCGCCAAGUCAGGGGCCAUUCCGAGUCCCGCGGACGAAGUUCGCCCACGCCGUCCACCAAGGCUAUAGCCCACCCGUUUUUUGGCCAUUUUUCCACUGGGGGGUCUUGGGACACCGACUUUCGGGUGCUGAUUUUUGGGCGCGGCUGUGCCCGUGGCCUAUUUUUGGCACACAGAGGCCGCCCACCAAGUAUGGUGCCAUUCCGAGUCCCGCGGACGAACUUCGCCCACGCCCCCCACCAAGGCUAUAGCCCACCCGUUUUUUGGCCAUUUUUCCGCUGGGGGGUCUUGGGACCCCGACCUUCGGGGGCUGAUUUUUGGGCGCGGCUGUGCCCGUGGCCUAUUUUUGGCACACGGAGGCCGCCCGCCAAGUCAGGGGCCAUUCCGAGUCCCGCGGACGAACUUCGCCCACGCCGCCCACCAAGGCUAUAGCCCACCCGUUUUUUGGCCAUUUUUCCGCUGGGGGGUCUUGGGACCCCGACCUUCGGGGGCUGAUUUUUGGGCGCGGCUGUGCCCGUGGCCUAUUUUUGGCACACAGAGGCCGCCCGCCAAGUACGGUGCCAUUCCGAGUCCCGCGGACGAACUUCGCCCACGCCGCCCACCAAGGCUGUAGCCCACCCGUUUUUUGGCCAUUUUUCCGCUGGGGGGUCUUGGGACCCCGACCUUCGGGGGCUGAUUUUUGGGCGCGGCUGUGCCCGUGGCCUAUUUUUGGCACACGGAGGCCGCCCGCCAAGUCAGGGGCCAUUCCGACUCCCGCGGACGAAGUUCGCCCACGCCCCCCACCAAGGCUAUAGCCCACCCGUUUUUGGCCAUUUUUCCGCUGGGGGGUCUUGGGACCCCGACCUUCGGGGGCUGAUUUUUGGGCGCGGCUGUGCCCGUGGCCUAUUUUUAGCACACAGAGGCCGCCCGCCAAGUAUGGUGCCAUUCCGAGUCCCGCGGACGAACUUCGCCCACGCCCCCCACCAAGGCUAUAGCCCACCCGUUUUUUGGCCAUUUCUCCGCUGGUGGGUCUUGGGACCCCGACCUUCGGGGGCUGAUUUUUGGGCGCGGCUGUGCCCGUGGCCUAUUUUUGGCACACGGAGGCCGCCCGCCAAGUCAGGGGCCAUUCCGAGUCCCGCGGACGAAGUUCGCCCACGCCCCCCACCAAGGCUAUAGCCCACCCGUUUUUUGGCCAUUUUUCCACUGGGGGGUCUUGGGACCCCGACCUUCGGGGGCUGAUUUUUGGGCGCGGCUGUGCCCGUGGCCUAUUUUUGGCACACAGAGGCCGCCCGCCAAGUAUGGUGCCAUUCCGAGUCCCGCGGACGAACUUCGCCCACACCCCCAACAAGGCUAUAGCCCACCCGUUUUUUGGCCAUUUUUCCGCUGGUGGGUCUUGGGACCCCGACCUUCGGGGGCUGAUUUUUGGGCGCGGCUGUGCCCGUGCCCUAUUUUUGGCACACGGAGGCCGCCCGCCAAGUCAGGGGCCAUUCCGAGUCCCGCGGACGAAGUUCGCCCACGCCCCCCACCAAGGCUAUAGCCCACCCGUUUUUUGGCCAUUUUUCCACUGGGGGGUCUUGGGACCCCGACCUUCGGGGGCUGAUUUUUGUGCGCGGCUGUGCCCGUGGCCUAUUUUUGGCACACAGAGGCCGCCCGCCAAGUAUGGUGCCAUUCCGAGUCCCGCGGACGAACUUCGCCCACGCCCCCCACCAAGGCUAUAGCCCACCCGUUUUUUGGCCAUUUUUUCGCUGGGGGGUCUUGGGACCCCGACCUUCGGGGGCUGAUUUUUGGGCGCGGCUGUGCCCGUGGCCUAUUUUUGGUACCCGGAGGCCGCCCGCCAAGUCAGGGGCCAUUCCGAGUCCCGCGGACGAAGUUCGCCCACGCCCCCCACCAAGGCUAUAGCCCACCCGUUUUUUGGCCAUUUUUCCGCUGGGGGGUCUUGGGACCUCGACCUUCGGGGGCUGAUUUUUGGGCGCGGCUGUGCCCGUGUCCUAUUUUUGGCACACGGAGGCCGCCCGCCAAGUCAGGUGCCAUUCCGAGUCCCGCGGACGAAGUUUGCCCACGCCCCCCACCAAGGCUAUAGCCCACCCGUUUUUUGGCCAUUUUUCCGCUGGGGGGUCUUGGGACCCCGACCUUCGGGGGCUGAUUUUUGGGCGCGGCUGUGCCCGUGGCCUAUUUUUGGCACACAGAGGCCGCCCGCCAAGUAUGGUGCCAUUCCGAGUCCCGCGGACGAACUUCGCCCACGCCGCCCACCAAGGCUAUAGCCCACCCGUUUUUUGACCAUUUUUCCGCUGGGGGGUCUUGGGACCCCGACCUUCGGGGGCUGAUUUUUGGGCGCGGCUGUGCCCGUGGCCUAUUUUUGGUACCCGGAGGCCGCCCGCCAAGUCAGGGGCCAUUCCGAGUCCCGCGGACGAAGUUCGCCCUCUCCCCCCACCAAGGCUAUAGCCCACCCGUUUUUUGGCCAUUUUUCCGCUGGGGGGUCUUGGGACCUCGACCUUCGGGGGCUGAUUUUUGGGCGCGGCUGUGCCCGUGUCCUAUUUUUGGCACACGGAGGCCGCCCGCCAAGUCAGGGGCCAUUCCGAGUCCCGCGGACGAAGUUCGCCCACGCCCCCCACCAAGGCUAUAGCCCACCCGUUUUUUGGCCAUUUUUCCGCUGGGGGGUCUUGGGACCCCGACCUUCGGGGGCUGAUUUUUGGGCGCGGCUGUGCCCGUGGCCUAUUUUUGGCACACAGAGGCCGCCCGCCAAGUAUGGUGCCAUUCCGAGUCCCGCGGACGAACUUCGCCCACGCCGCCCACCAAGGCUAUAGCCCACCCGUUUUUUGACCAUUUUUCCGCUGGGGGGUCUUGGGACCCCGACCUUCGGGGGCUGAUUUUUGGGCGCGGCUGUGCCCGUGGCCAAUUUUUGGUACCCGGAGGCCGUCCGCCAAGUCAGGGGCCAUUCCGAGUCCCGCGGACGAAGUUCGCCCACGCCCCCCACCAAGGCUAUAGCCCACCCGUUUUUUGGCCAUUUUUCCGCUGGGGGGUCUUGGGACCCCGACCUUUGGGGGCUGAUUUUUGGGCGCGGCUGUGCCCGUGGCCUAUUUUUGGCACACGGAGGCCGCCCGCCAAGUCAGGGGCCAUUCCGAGUCCCGCGGACGAAGUUCGCCCACGCCCCCCACCAAGGCUAUAGCCCACCCGUUUUUUGGCCAUUUUUCCGCUGGGGGGUCUUGGGACCCCGACCUUCGGGGUCUGAUUUUUGGGCGCGGCUGUGCCCGUGGCCUAUUUUUGGCACACGGAGACCACCCGCCAAGUAUGGUGCCAUUCCGAGUCCCGCGGACGAACUUCGCCCACGCCCCCCACCAAGGCUAUAGCCCACCCGUUUUUUGGCCAUUUUUCCGCUGGGGGGUCUUGGGACCCCGACCUUCGGGGGCUGAUUUUUGGGCGCGGCUGUGCCCGUGGCCUAUUUUUGGCACACGGAGGCCGCCCGCCAAGUAUGGUGCCAUUCCGAGUCCCGCGGACGAACUUCGCCCACGCCGCCCACCAAGGCUAUAGCCCACCCGUUUUUUGGCCAUUUUUCCGCUGGGGGGUCUUGGGACCCCGACCUUCGGGGGCUGAUUUUUGGGCGCGGCUGUGCCCGUGGCCUAUUAUUGGCACACGGAGGCCGCCCGCCAAGUCAGGGACCAUUCCGAGUCCCGCGGACGAAGUUCGCCCACGCCCCCCACCAAGGCUAUAGCCCACCCGUUUUUUGGACAUUUUUCCGCUGGGGGGUCUUGGGACCCCGACCUUCGGGGGCUAAUUUUUGGGCGCGGCUGUGCCCGUGGCCUAUUUUUGGCACACAUAGGCCGCCCGCCAAGUAUGGUGCCAUUCCUAGUCCCGCGGACAAACUUCUCCCACACCACCCACCAAGGCUAUAGCCCACCCGUUUUUGGCCAUUUUUCCGCUGGGGGGUCUUGGGAGCCCGACCUUCGGGGGCUGAUUUUUGGGCGCGGCUGUGCCCGUGGCCUAUUUUUGGCACACGGAGGCCGCCCGCCAAGUCAGGGGCCAUUCCGAGUCCCGCGGACGAAGUUCGCCCACGCCCCCCACCAAGGCUAUAGCCCACCCGUUUUUUGGCCAUUUUUCCGCUGGGGGGUCUUGGGACCCCGACCUUCGGGGGCUGAUUUUUGGGCCGCGGCUGUGCCCGUGGCCUAUUUUUGGCACACAGAGGCCGCCCGCCAAGUAUGGUGCCAUUCCGAGUCCCGCGGACGAACUUCGCCCACGCCCCCCACCAAGGCUAUAGCCCACCCGUUUUUUGGCCAUUUUUCCGCUGGGGGGUCUUGGGACCCCGACCUUCGGGGGCUGAUUUUUGGGCGCGGCUGUGCCCGUGGCCUAUUUUUGGCACACAGAGGCCGCCCGCCAAGUAUGGUGCCAUUCCGAGUCCCGCGGACGAACUUCGCCCACGCCCCCCACCAAGGCUAUAGCCCACCCGUUUUUUGGCCAUUUUUCCGCUGGGGGGUCUUGGGACCCCGACCUUCGGGGGCUGAUUUUUGGGCGCGGCUGUGCCCGUGGCCUAUUUUUGGCACACGGAGGCCGCCCGCCAAGUCAGGGGCCAUUCCGAGUCCCGCGGACGAAGUUCGCCCACGCCCCCCACCAAGGCUAUAGCCCACCCGUUUUUUGGCCAUUUUUCCACUGGGGGGUCUUGGGACCCCGACCUUCGGGGGCUGAUUUUUGGGCGCGGCUGUGCCCGUGGCCUAUUUUUGGCACACGGAGGCCGCCCGCCAAGUCAGGGGCCAUUCCAAGUCCCGCGUACGAAGUUCGCCCACGCCUCCCACCAAGGCUAUAGCCCACCCAUUUUUUGGCCAUUUUUCCACUGGGGGGUCUUGGGACCCCGACCUUCGGGGGCUGAUUUUUGUGCGCGGCUGUGCCCGUGGCCUAUUUUUGGCACACAGAGACCGCCCGCCAAGUAUGGUGCCAUUCCGAGUCCCGCGGACGAACUUCGCCCACGCCGCCCACCAAGUCUAUAGCCCACCCGUUUUUUGGCCAUUUUUCCGCUGGGGGGUCUUGGGACCCCGACCUUCGGGGGCUGAUUUUUGGGCGCGGCUGUGCCCGUGGCCUAUU
rnacentral:lncRNA from 1 species